rnacentral:rRNA from 1 species
UACGAAGGGGGCUAGCGUUGCUCGGAAUCACUGGGCGUAAAGGGUGCGUAGGCGGGUCUUUAAGUCAGGGGUGAAAUCCUGGAGCUCAACUCCAGAACUGCCUUUGAUACUGGGGGAUCUCGAGUCCGGAAGAGGUGAGUGGAACUCCGAGUGUAGAGGUGAAAUUCGUAGAUAUUCGGAAGAACACCAGUGGCGAAGGCGGCUCACUGGUCCGGUACUGACGCUGAGGUGCGAAAGCGUGGGGAGCAAACAGGG